GACGAACGCUGGCGGCGUGCUUAACACAUGCCAGUCGAACGGUGAUGCUCCAGCUUGCUGGAGUGGAUCAGUGGCGAACGGGUGAGUAACACGUGAGCAACCUGCCCCAGACUCUGGAAUAAGCGCUGGAAACGGCGUCUAAUACUGGAUACGAAACUGGCCCGCAUGGGCAUGGUUUGGAAAGUUUUUCGGUUUGGGAUGGGCUCGCGGCCUAUCAGCUUGUUGGUGAGGUAAUGGCUCACCAAGGCGACGACGGGUAGCCGGCCUGAGAGGGCGACCGGCCACACUGGGACUGAGACACGGCCCAGACUCCUACGGGAGGCAGCAGUGGGGAAUAUUGCACAAUGGGCGAAAGCCUGAUGCAGCGACGCCGCGUGAGGGAUGACGGCCUUCGGGUUGUAAACCUCUUUCAGCAGGGAAGAAGCGAAAGUGACGGUACCUGCAGAAGAAGCACCGGCUAACUACGUG
rnacentral:rRNA from 1 species